rnacentral:sRNA from 1 species
AUUGGAGAUCCACGUGAAGAUAUCAUUAGUGUUGGAGUUACUGAAAAAACAUGGUGGUAAUGUAUUUUGACAUGCUAGAGCUGUUUAUGCCUUUCAUUCUUUGUGGACCUAAUGAGGAAAUUUAAAUCCUGUUGUAAAGCUCAACCAUCGCUAUGGAGGGAAAGAUGAUCCCCUGGAUUCUAUAGGGAAGGAUUAGGGAGUGGAUAAUCAUCAAUUUUAGGGGGAUCAUAUCGGAACAUUUCCUUCCAGCAGAUAGAUUUGUGAAUGGGGGCAAGGGAAGGACUAAACAGUUAAAAUUAAACUAGGCCCUCAGACCAAAAUCAAGGGUACAUAAUUUUUUUUACAGGACUGAAACAACAUUAAACAUCAGAUUUUUAUCAGUUUGCGGGCUUGUUUUCUACAUUGAAGCAAUGUUUGUUCAGUUUUAUAGUCUUUUUUUAUACAGUGUUCCAAAUUGACUGUGAAGGUUGACCUUUUGUGGAUAGGGAAAAACUUUUCACUCUAACUUUCUUUGUUAAAAACUUAAUUGAGCAUUAGAAAAAAAUUGACCUUGACUUGACUUGUAUAAUGCUGAAUGAAGAAAAAGCAAGCAAGGGGUUUUAGCAUAUGAACUUUUUAUUCUUCAUCUGUACCUGAAAGAAUUUAGCGUACGAAUAACCUUCAGUGUGUUGAAUGCAUGCAUACAAAAGUUCUAAAAGUGCAAGCAUAAUUGGCAGGUAUGUUGGCACAGUUGCAGGUUGUUCUAGCGAGUUCUUGAGACUCCAAAAUCUAGGUUCAUUCACAUAAAAUUUUCCAAGGACAAACAACUUUCAACAGAGAGAGAGAAAAAGAAGAGGCAAGGUUUUAGGAGCAGACAUCGGCAAUCAAAGUGAUCACUAAGACCUUUAUGACCCACUGGAAUGGGAAUAUUCUGGUUCUUUAAUGCUCACCUCUCCGAAUCAAUACAAGAGCUAGUGUUUGAACUCAUUGACACUCAUCAGUAUAUGUUGGAAACUGAAACUAUUGGAAUUCGAAUCUCUCCCGAUAAAGAACUCGCGGUCUUGAGGAAUCAAUUCUGUCGGGGAUUUUCUCCUGCAAAAAGAGGUGAUUAAGAUCAAUGCAAAAGUUUUAGUUCAUUGAUGCAGAGAAUGCAAAGCAUGUUCACACAUCAGAGGAAUUCAAGAUCAUAAAAGUGGCAUCACUCUAUUCAACUGCAGUCUUCUUCGUUCAGUAGGCUUGGAUCUUUUAGUUCCAAAAUAUUGGGAAACAUUUUUUUCUCUAACUCGUUGAGCCUGGGAGUUUUGUGUCAAAAUACAAUUACGCUCGAAUGAUUAAUAAUUAAUUGGUGCAUAGAUUUCAGGGAUUGAGGAAAUGUUUGCUGAGGCUCGCGAAAAGAGUUCUGACCAAAAAUUAGCUGCUGCCUACAGACAAGUGAAUUGGAUUUUUUCUGUGUCUUUGCCAGUAUCAUUAGACGUAGUUGUGAAAGGUUAGGAGGCAGUCAUUGUGUGAAGUAAAGGAAGUGUCACUAGGUGCCUGGGGAAAUUCUAGUAUUGAUAUAAUUUUUCACUUGUAGGAUUCCUUACCAAAAUUACUUUGUCUGGUACAUUCUUUUGGUGAAGAAACAACCCAAAACCUUGGGCAAAAAAUUAGUAUAAUUAAUAACUGGCUACUUUUUGUGCCUGGCUGAAGAUUCUUC